CUUCGAAUACUGUACUUUUUAUCUUCAAAAAAAAGACUGCUGACCGGUGAGGAUUAUAAACUUCAAACUCUGCCUUCUCCCAGGAUUCUUCCCAUCUGCUGGGCCACUCUGCACUUAUUAACGUACCUACUUUAUGAACUUUAAAACUUUACCCAUUACAAGUAUUUCUUUUAGUUAUAAUGUGUAUUUUUUAACAAACAAAACGUAUAUGUGAUUUUAACAAA